rnacentral:rRNA from 1 species
AUACGUAGGGGCCAAACGUUGUCCGGAUUUAUUGGGCGUAAAGGGCUCGUAGGCGGUUCAACAAGUCGGUCGUGAAAUGCCGGGGCUCAACCCCGGAACGCCGGUCGAAACUGUUGUGACUAGGGUCCGGUAGAGGUGAGUGGAAUUCUCGGUGUAGCGGUGGAAUGCGCAGAUAUCGAGAGGAACACCAGUUGCGAAGGCGGCUCACUGGGCCGGUACCGACGCUGAGGAGCGAAAGCAUGGGGAGCAAACAGGAUUAGAAACCCCGGUAGUCC